UCCCUGACAGUCCAGUGGUUAAGACGCCACACUUCCAAUGUAGGAGACACAAGUUCAAACCCUGGUUGGGGAA
rnacentral:tRNA from 1 species